UUGUUUUGCCAAGUUUCGUAUUUCUGGGGCAUUUAGUUGUGUUGUUAUAGUCAUGAUGCAUUGUUGUGAAUUUUGUGGGUCUGGAUUGUGGUUUUGUGGUGUGAUUGAGUUGUUACAACCGGGAGGCAAGGCUUUUGCGUUGUUUUGUCAAAUUUUGUAUUUCUGGGGCGUUUAAUUGUGUUGUUAUAGUCACGAUGCGUUGUUGUGAGUUUUGUGGGUCUGGAUUGUGGUUUUGUGGUGUGGUUGUGUUGUUACAACCGGGAGGCAAGGCUUUUGCGUUGUGUUGUCAAGUUUUGUAUUUCUGGGGCAUUUAGUUGUGUGCCAAGUUUCGUAUUUCUGGGGCGUUUAGUUGUGUUGUUAUAGUCACGAUGCUUUGUUGUGAGUUUUGUGCAUCCGGAUUGUGACUAUAACAACACAACUAAACGCCCCAGAAAUACGAAACUUGGCAACACAACGCAAAACCCUUCCCUCCAGGUUGUAACAACACAACCACACCAUAAAACCACAAUCCAGACCCAUAAAACUCACAACAAUGCAUCGUGACUAUAACAACACAACUAACCGCCCCAGAAAUACGAAACUUGGCACACAACUAAAUGCCCCAGAAAUAUAAAACUUGACAACACAACGCAAAAGCCUUGCCUUCUGGUUGUAACAACACAACCACACCACAAAACCACAAUCCGGACCCACAAAACUCACAACAAUGCAUCGUGACUAUAACAACACAACUAAACUCCCCAGAAAUACGAAACUUGGCACACAACUAAACGCCCCAGAAAUACAAAACUUGACAACACAACACAAAAGCCUUUUCUCCCGGUUGUAACAACACAACUACACCACAAAACCACAAUCCGGACCACAAAACUCACAACAACGCAUCGUGAAUAUAACACAACUAAACACCCCAGAAAUACAAAAUUUGACAACACAAUGCAAAAGCCUUGCCUCCCAGUUGUAAGAACACAACCACAACACAAAACCACAAUCCAGACCCACAAAACUCACAACAACGCAUCAUGACUAUAACAACACAACUAAACACCCCAGAAAUACAAAACUUGCCAAAACAAUGCAACAGCCUUGCCUCCCAGUUGUAACAACACAACCACACCACAAAAC